rnacentral:rRNA from 1 species
CUUUGGCAUUGGCAGCGGUCCAAGUUCCUUGGAACAGGACGUCACAGAGGGUGAGAAUCCCGUACGUGGUCGCUAGCCUUUACCGUGUAAAGCCCCUUCGACGAGUCGAGUUGUUUGGGAAUGCAGCUCUAAAUGGGAGGUAAAUUUCUUCUAAAGCUAAAUACUGGCCAGAGACCGAUAGCGCACAAGUAGAGUGAUCGAAAGAUGAAAAGCACUUUGGAAAGAGAGUUAAAAAGCACGUGAAAUUGUUGAAAGGGAAGCGCUUGCAGCCAGACUUGCCUGUAGUUGCUCAUCUAGGUUUCUACCUAGUGCACUCUUCUAUAGGCAGGCCAGCAUCAGUUUGGGCGGUUGGAUAAAGGUCUCUGUCAUGUACCUCUCUUUGGGGAGAACUUAUAGGGGAGACGACAUGCAAUCAGCCUGGACUGAGGUCCGCGCAUCUGCUAGGAUGCUGGCGUAAUGGCUGUAAGCGGCCCGUCUUGAAACACGGACCAAGGAGUCUAACAUCUAUGCGAGUGUUUGGGUGUCAAGCCCGAGCGCGUAAUGAAAGUGAACGGAGGUGGGAACCUUUCGGGGUGCACCAUCGACCGAUCCUGAUGUCUUCGGAUGGAUUUGAGUAAGAGCAUAGCUGUUGGGACCCCGAAAGAUGGUGAACUAUGCUUGAAUAGGGUGAAGCCAGAGGAAACUCUGGUGGAGGCUCGCAGCGGUUCUGAACGUGCAAAUCGAUCGUCAAAUUUGGGCAUAGGGGCGAAAGACUAAUCGAACUAUCUAGUAGCUGGUUCCUGCCGAAGUUUCCCUCAGGAUAGCAGUAACGUUUUCAGUUUUAUGAGGUAAAGCGAAUGAUUAGAGGCCUGGGGGUUGAAACAACCUUCACCUAUUCUCAAACUUUAAAUAUGU